rnacentral:rRNA from 1 species
UACGGGAGGCAGCAGUGGGGAAUAUUGCACAAUGGGCGCAAGCCUGAUGCAGCCAUGCCGCGUGUAUGAAAAAGGCCUUCGGGUUGUAAAGUACUUUCAGUCGUGAGGAAGGUGUUAAGGUUAAUAACCUUAGCAAUUGACGUUAGCGACAGAAGAAGCACCGGCUAACUCCGUGCCAGCAGCCGCGGUAAUACGGAGGGUGCGAGCGUUAAUCGGAAUUACUGGGCGUAAAGGGCACGCAGGCGGUUAAUUAAGUUGGAUGUGAAAUCCCCGGGCUUAACCUGGGAAUGGCAUUCAAGACUGGUUAGCUAGAGUCUUGUAGAGGGGGGUAGAAUUCCAUGUGUAGCGGUGAAAUGCGUAGAGAUGUGGAGGAAUACCGGUGGCGAAGGCGGCCCCUGGACAAAGACUGACGCUCAUGUGCGAAAGCGUGGGGAGCAAACGAGGGAUUAGAUACC